rnacentral:rRNA from 1 species
GACGAACGCUGGCGGCGUGCUUAACACAUGCAAGUCGAACGGAGCGAAUGAAAGCUUGCUUUUAUGAGCUUAGUGGCAAACGGGUGAGUAACACGUAGGCAACCUGCCGACAGGAUGGGGACAACAUUCCGAAAGGAAUGCUAAUACCGAAUGAAGCGGAGGAGAGGCAUCUCCCCUCCGUGAAAGAUGGCCUCUUUUUAUGCUAUCACCUGUCGAUGGGCCUGCGUCUGAUUAGCUGGUAGGUGAGGUAACGGCUCACCUAGGCGACGAUCAGUAGCCGGUCUGAGAGGAUGAACGGCCACAUUGGGACUGAGACACGGCCCAGACUCCUACGGGAGGCAGCAGUGGGGAAUCUUCCGCAAUGGGCGCAAGCCUGACGGAGCAACGCCGCGUGAGUGAAGAAGGUCUUCGGAUCGUAAAGCUCUGUUGAUGGGGACGAACGUGCCUAAUGCGAAUAGUUUUAGG